GACGAACGCUGGCGGCGUGCCUAAUACAUGCAAGUCGAACGCAGUUGGGACGGGUGAGUAACACGUGGGUAACCUCCCAUCAGAGGGGAUAACACUUGGAAACAGGUGGUAAACCGAUAGUGAUGGAUGGACGCACGGUGGAUUAGCUAGUUGGUGAGGUAACGGCUUACCAAGGCCACGAUGCAUAGCUGAUCUGAGAGGGUGAUCGGCCACACUGGGACUGAGACACGGCCCAGACUCCUACGGGAGGCAGCAGUAGGGAAUCUUCGACAAUGGACGAAAGUCUGAUCGAGCAACGCCGCGUGAGUGAAGAAGGUUUUCGGAUCGUAAAGCUCUGUUGUUAGAGAAGCGGUAUCUAACCAGAAAGCCACGGCUAACUACGUGCCAGCAGCCGCGGUAAUAC
rnacentral:rRNA from 1 species